UAUCUCGUCCAAGAGCCUCGUCUAGCCCUCUUCCUAGUUCUGUUAGGUAUUUCCUCUUCUCUUAGGUUUUCGUCUUAAUCUUUCUUCGUUUCAAUCAUGUCUUCGUCUAGUAGUAGUUUAAAGAAGGAGAUAGAUGAGUACCAGGAGGUUUCUUCUGGGAGUGAGGGUAGUUAUAAGGGUAGUGAAAGUAGUGCAGCCAGUAGUAAUUCUUCAGAUGAGUACUAUUCAUUUGGGGUCCCUGGUAUUCCCUUGGAGGAAUUCUAGGAAUUACAACGUAGGUUGGCUUUUGGAUCUAGGGCUAGCUCGUCCAGACAGCCACCUAGCCCUCCUCAAGACGAGGAGGAGGAAGAAAAUAUUAUUUAUAGUUGUGCCCCUAAAGUAGCAUCCAUUUUAGAUGCUACAAAGUUGAAAACCCUUGUAGAUAGAUAUCAGAUCCCAAAAGAGCUUAAGCCUCGUCUACCCAUGGAAGGAGAAUGGUGUUGUUCUCCUUCUUUUGGUUUAGGAGUAUACACCUCCUAUCUCUUAGCUGGCCUUAGGUUUCCUCUAAAUUCUUUUUAUCGAGGUCUUCUCCAUAGGUUGGGUAUUGGACCUAACUAGCUUAACCCCAAUGGAUGGAGGACGGUAGUUGCCAUGCAAGUGCUGUGGCGUGAGACAUUGGAAGGGGAUUGUCCUAUCAUAGUGGACGAGUUCCUUUACUAUUAUAAGCCAUUUGAGAUAAAGAAGUCUGCUGCUUUUUACCAGUUCUCAUCCAGGGGCUCUUACUAUAGUUUAAUAAAGGGCCAUAGCUCAUCUGACAAGCUCUGGAAAAUAAAAUAUUUUAUUAUUUCCGGAGAUUGGUCUGGCGACCCAAUAGAUGUGGGUAAUGCUCCCUUCCCACCUUUUACCAGCCCUCUAGGUUGCCUUCGUCCUGAGGCUGUUGUUCGUCCAUGCUUAGACAAAUUUUACUUGGAUUGAAUUGACCAAGUACGUGCCUUCCUUGGGAGAACUUUUCAUGAUCUAGUGACUUUCAGUCGUCUAGCUAUGUGGGGACUUGGCCUAGUACCUACUUCUGAGAAUCUUGGUCAUGAGGAAACCACUUGUCAAAGAAUAACUACAAUGAGGGAGAAUAAGGAAAAAACCAUAACUAAUGGGGACGAGGAUGCCACUGCACCACUAGUCGUUCAGAAAACUUCCGUCCAGAUAGGGAAGAGAAAGUCUAAGUCUAUAUCCAGUGUUGUGGACCUGGAUGACCUUCCAAGUCGUCAAGGUCCUAAGAAACAAAAACCUGGCAAGGCUUCUCUUCCCAAUGUUCCCAAGUUCACACCUCUGACGAUAAACCUGGAUGACCCUCCUGUUGAUAUGGAGCCUGUCCAAACAAUCCAUCCCGCCUAUAUUGAUCCUACUCCCCGUCCAGCCAAGACUCCUCGCAAGACUCAUCUGAGCGUCCUUCUAACCUGGUGCUGGACGAGAGCUACGUAUGGAGGACAUUCAAAGGAAUCGUCAUUGACAAUGAAGUCAAUGAAUGCUACAAUACGUCAGUGAAAAGGUUUGAAUGCUCUAGUAUCCAUGACCUCUUUAAGGCUAUGUUAAAAUUUUACACAGUAACCUGCCCGGCUAAAGAGCUUGCUUCAGAGGCUAAGACCGCUAAGGAUAAGGUUAAGGAGCUGAACAAUGAAAUUCUGCUAAAAAGGGGGGAGGUGCUUAGGUUGACUAAAGAUUUCAAUCGUCUGCAAGGAAGUGAGACAAAGCUGAAAAACGAGGUGGAAGAGCUUAAAACUAAUAACAUCGAAAAAGAUACUUGCAUCGUCUAUCUCGAGGGACAAGUUUCUGAAUUUGUCUCGUCCUUAGAGAAAGCAUGUGGGGAAGCCAUAGCAGCCUUCAAGAAGUCUGAUGAGUACAAGAAUCGUUUAGAAAGUCACUAUGCAGUUGGCUAUGAAGGCUUCUGCGCUGAUGCUAAGGAAACAUUUCCUGAUUUGGACUUUGAUUCUUUCAAGCUUCCCCUUGCUACUGAAAGCUCCUUAUUGCAGACGAGUUCUAAGGACAUCAACAUAAUGGACGAUGCUAAUAACGAAGUGACCCAGGACGAUCCCAAGUUUGCCCCUAGUGGCUCAUUCAAGUUUACUCAAGUACAAUUAUCUCGUCUAAGUUUAUGGACGAGCCUUAUAUACAAUCAGUUAUAUUAUCUUUGCAUAACUUAAGGGUUUUUGGAACAUUGGUCGUCCACCCUUCUUUAAAUUCUAUGAAUGAAUGAAUGUUUUCCAUU